rnacentral:misc_RNA from 1 species
CAUUCCAGAAGGUGCCACUUUAUUAGGCGGCACGAAGAUCGAGGACUAUCCGAAGGAAUUCGAUAGAUGGUAUGUUGUCUUGGGGGAAAACGCGACUGAUGUGGGGAUUACUGGUGGCGGUGUGGUAGAUGGGCAAGGGCUAAAGUUUGUGCAGAGAUUUAAUGAGGUGAAAAAUGUGAUGGUGAGUUGGAAUCAGAGUGGGGCUUGUUUGGGAGAUGAGUGUAGGCCGAGGCUUGUUGGAUUUAUUGGCU